rnacentral:rRNA from 1 species
AGAGUUUGAUCAUGGCUCAGAACGUACGCUGGCGGCACGCCUAACACAUGCAAGUCGAACGAAGUAGCAAUACUUAGUGGCAGACGGGUGAGUAACAUGUAGGUAUCUGCCCUUUGGCCUGGAAUAACACGAGGAAACUUGUGCUAAUACUGGAUAAGUCUUUACGGAGAAAGCUUUAUGCACCAUUGGAUGAGCCUGCACUUGAUUAGUUUGUUGGUGGGGUAAUGGCCUACCAAGACUGUGAUCAAUAGCUGAUUGAGAGGAUGAUCAGCCACAUUGGGACUGAGACACGGCCCAAACUCCUACGGGGAGGCAGCAGUGGGGAAUCUUGCACAAUGGAGGAAACUCUGAUGCAGCGAUGCCGCGUGAGUGAAGAAGGCCUUUGGGUUGUAAAGCUCUUUCGUCGGGGAAGAAAAUGACUGUACCCGAAUAAGAAGGUCCGGCUAACUUCGUGCCAGCAGCCGCGGUAAUACGAAGGGACCUAGCGUAGUUCGGAAUUACUGGGCUUAAAGAGUUCGUAGGUGGUUGAAAAAGUUGGUGGUGAAAUCCCAGAGCUUAACUCUGGAACUGCCAUCAAAACUUUUCAGCUAGAGUAUGAUAGAGGAAAGCAGAAUUUCUAGUGUAGAGGUGAAAUUCGUAGAUAUUAGAAAGAAUACCAAUUGCGAAGGCAGCUUUCUGGAUCAUUACUGACACUGAGGAACGAAAGCAUGGGUAGCGAAGAGGAUUAGAUACCCUCGUAGUCCAUGCCGUAAACGAUGUGUGUUAGACGUUGGAAAUUUAUUUUCAGUGUCGCAGCGAAAGCGAUAAACACACCGCCUGGGGAGUACGACCGCAAGGUUAAAACUCAAAUGAAUUGACGGGGACCCGCACAAGUAGUGGAGCAUGUGGUUUAAUUCGAAGAUACGCGCAGAACCUUACCAACACUUGACAUGUUCGUCGCGACUCUAAGAGAUUAGAGUUUUCGGUUCGGCCGGACGAAACACAGGUGCUGCAUGGCUGUCGUCAGCUCGUGUCGUGAGAUGUUGGGUUAAGUCCCGCAACGAGCGCAACCCUCACUUUUAGUUGCCAUCAUUAAGUUGGGCACUCUGAAAGAACUGCCAGUGAUAAGCUGGAGGAAGGUGGGGAUGACGUCAAGUCCUCAUGGCCCUUACGUGUUGGGCUACACACGUGCUACAAUGGUAUCUACAACAGGAAGCAAGACUGCGAAGUUAAGCAAAUCCUUAAAA